GGCUGUCCUGCAAAUUUGGCCUGUUCUCAGAAGAAGUGACUCAGCAAAACGUCUUCUGAAAUGACAAUCCUGUUCAAACUUGGGGCCAAUAAAUUCACUGCUGAAAGAAUGGAAUAAGGCAACUGGACUUCAUUUUCCUUGAAGACGUUUCGUUUUCCAUCCAAGAAGCUUCUGCAGUACAGAAAGGUGGCUGGGGAAUUCUGGGAAUGGAAGUCCACCCAUAUUAAAGUUGCUCAGGGUGGAACAAUUCUUAAAAGACGUUAAAUGCUUGACACAGAUACGAUGGAAGAAGAAAACAAAGCAUUUUCAGGAGUGGAAACUUGCAACUAAUAUGAAGAACAAAUACAAGUAGCCCUUGAUUUAUGACCAUUCAUUUAGUGACCGUUCAAAGUUACAACAGCAUUGGGAAAAAAGUGUCUUCAAUCCCACAGCCAUCACAGAGUCCCUGCAGUCACAUGAUCAAAAUUCAAAAUGGCAACUGGCAUGCAUUUAUGAUGGUUGCAGUAUCCUGUGGUCACGUGAUGGCUGUUUAUGGCCUUCCCAGCUGUCUUCUUUGACAAGCAAAG